rnacentral:lncRNA from 10 species
UGCCAUUCUAACUGGUGUGAGAUGGUAUCUCAUUGUAGUUUUGAUUUGCAUUUCUCUGAUGGCCAGUGAUGAUGAGCAUUUUUUCAUGUGUUUUUUGGCUGCAUAAAUGUCUUCUUUUGAGAAGUGUCUGUCCAUGUCCUUCGCCCACUUUUUGAUGGGGUUGUUUGUUUUUUUCUUGUAAAUUUGUUUGAGUUCAUUGUAGAUUCUGGAUAUUAGCCCUUUGU